rnacentral:rRNA from 1 species
GACAGAGGUGCCGAGCGUUAGGCGGAAUCACUGGGCUUAAAGCGUGUGUAGGCGGCGGCGUAAGUACCUUGUGAAAUCCCACGGCUCAACCGUGGAACUGCUCGGUAUACUGGUUGUCUUGAGCCAGCUAGGGGCGAGCGGAACAGACGGUGGAGCGGUGAAAUGCGUAGAUAUCGUCUGGAACGCCGAAGGUGAAAACAGCUCGCUGGGGCUGCGCUGACGCUGAGACACGAAAGCCAGGGGAGCGAACGGG